GACGAACGCUGGCGGCGUGCCUAAUACAUGCAAGUCGAACGCUUCCUACCGGUGCUUGCACCGGGAAAGAAGAGUGGCGGACGGGUGAGUAACACGUGGGUAACCUACCUACAAGCGGGGGAUAACAUUCGGAAACGGAUGCUAAUACCGCAUAGAUCUUUUUGUCUCCUGACAGAAAGAAGAAAGACGGUUUCGGCGGUAACUUGUAGAUGGACCCGCGGCGCAUUAGCUAGUUGGUGAGGUAAUGGCUCACCAAGACGAUGUUGCGUAGCCGACCUGAGAGGGUGAUCGGCCACACUGGGACUGAGACACGGCCCAGACUCCUACGGGAGGCAGCAGUAGGGAAUCUUCCGCAAUGGACGAAAGUCUGACGGAGCAACGCCGCGUGAGUGAAGAAGGUUUUCGGAUCGUAAAACUCUGUUGUUAGAGAAGAACAAGGAUGAGAGUAACUGCUCGUCCCUUGACGGUAUCUAACCAGAAAGUCAUGGCUAACUACGUGCCAGCCGCCGCAGUAA
rnacentral:rRNA from 1 species